GAGCAAUGGCGUCGAACAAUUAGAUGGCGCGAAUUGCAUUGAAGGUUGGCAAUAUUAAAUAACGAUUCUCCGUGCCUAUCAAAUUCAAUCGAUCUCGUUUUGAUUAUGGCCUCGAACAAGUCGCUACACU